UACGUAGGGGGCAAGCGUUAUCCGGAAUUAUUGGGCGUAAAGAGUGCGUAGGUGGUUUUGUAAGCGCGAGGUGAAAGGCAAUAGCUCAACUAUUGUAAGCCUUGCGAACUGCAAGACUUGAGUGCAGGAGAGGAAAGUGGAAUUCCUAGUGUAGCGGUGAAAUGCGUAGAUAUUAGGAGGAACACCAGUGGCGAAGGCGACUUUCUGGACUGUAACUGACACUGAGGCACGAAAGCGUGGGGAGCAAACAGG
rnacentral:rRNA from 1 species